UUGAAAGGGAAACGAUUGAAGUCAGUCGUACCGACGAGAAAUCAACUUAUCGUGUGCGAACUUGUGGGCGUGCGUGAGUUUCGGCCUCGCUGUUUGCAUGUUUGUGCGUUUUGGGUGUACUUUUUCGUAUGGUAGGCCAACGUCAGUUUCGAUUAUCAUAAAAUGACCGGUGGAAUGUAGCUUCGAUUUCGGUUGAAGUGUUAUAGCCUCUGGUAGAUGUGGUGAUUUAGACUGAGGGUUGCAACGAAUACCCUUUAGGCUAUCCGUCUGGCCUCUGAAAGUUGCUCAGGUGCCGAAAGCGUGCUUACGGUCAUCUAAGAUAACGUUCAACAGGUUAGAACGUGAUUACAUUCGUUAAGGAUGUUGACGUA
rnacentral:rRNA from 1 species